UCUCUUAUCCAGUGUCAGUGACAAAUUUUGCAUGUAAAACUCCCGAUCCAAAGCCGACAGCAAAAUUAAAGUUGGUUUGAAACCCUUAGCUAAGACAAGGGGUUCCCGAGGAUGAGUGCUCCCCCCGAUAUGUCCCUUGGCUGGCAGAGGUGCUGGGAGAGCUGUAAUUAAUAACUCUGUGCUUAAUAACUCUAUCUCUGGGCGAGAAGGGAUGUGUAGGCUCGUCGUUUCCCCGUCUGUGCUGGCACACCGUGCAGCAGGACACCCCAGGCACGGGUGGCAGCACAGCCCAGGUACGGGUGGCAGCACACACCAGGUACGGGUGGCAGCACACACCAGGUACGGGUGGCAGCACACCCAGCCCUGCAGUGAGCUAUGGCACGGGACCCUCACUGGUGGUGCCAUUCCCAGCAGGAUCAGACCCACCCUGCUCCACCCCUGCCAGCUGAGCACUCACAGCUCGGUGCUGCUCCCCCUGAAAACCCCUGGCUGCGCAGGAUUUGGGUGAACGAGGAGAGGCAGGCCCCGGUUUGCACAGGGCAGUGCUCACACAGCUUCUCGGAAACGGCUGAGCAGGGUGUCAGCAGCAAAGGGCGUGUGGUGACAGUGCCUCUCGCCACGGGAUGCCACAGGAAUUAAUCAUGAUUCACUGCUGACAUUAAUGAAUUGCAAAACUUGGAGGUUCUCACCCACUCACGGGAGGCGAUGUGCUCUGUGCCUGGGAUGGACAGAGACUGUGGCAGGAGAGCCACUGGUGGCUCCCAGGUGUCACUUUACAACAGGGGGGGUUUCUCAUUUUCCCUCUCCAAAAUAAGAUUUAAAGCCCACACUGUGUGACACAUGUGCCAUGGCCAUCCUGUCAUUUUUGUGUGUGAGCAAACUGGAAACAUUUUUCAGCCCAUCUGAAUCCCAGGAGCCAUGGCAAAAUGGGGCACAGACUGCGUGUCAGGGCCGGGAGAGCCUCGUGUGUCCCACAGCAGCCCCACCUUUGCCUUCUGCAGAAUUAAUUCCUAAUUCCUUGGUGGCUGUAUGUGUCCCUUAACUAACUUCUGUCUGUUAAUGCCAGACUUGAAUAAGUCAUUACUGAAGCUGAAAUGAUUUCAUUAAAUGAAAAGACAUUUUAAAAAAAUAUAUUAGAGCUUCAAAUAAGAUGUUUUGCUUGUGUCCUGCUAUAAAACAGCCACAAAGCAGAGCUUGCUGUAAUUAUGGGAAUUACAAGUAUUAAUUUUAUUUCUAGGAACUGGUGCUGCUGCCAUUUACACCCUGCAUCUCAAGCUAAGCUGCACAACACAAUUAAUGUCUAGACCAGAGUUCUGCCAGGGACUGCAAGGGCUCUGGAGCCUCAGCCCCAGGAGCAGCGCUGAGCUGGCACCAGCCAGGGGCCACCUGCAGGGACAGGGGCCACCUGCGGGGACAGGGGCUACCUGCGGGGACUAUGGGCCACCUGCAGGGACAGGGGCCACCUGCGGGGACAGGGGCUACCUGCGGGGACUAUGGGCCACCUGCAGGGACAGGGGCCACCUGCGGGGACAGGGGCUACCUGCGGGGACUAUGGGCC
rnacentral:lncRNA from 1 species